rnacentral:rRNA from 1 species
UACGGAGGGUGCAAGCGUUAUCCGGAUUCACUGGGUUUAAAGGGUGCGUAGGCGGGCAGGUAAGUCCGUGGUGAAAUCUCCGAGCUUAACUCGGAAACUGCCAUUGAUACUAUCUGUCUUGAAUAUCCUGGAGGUGAGCGGAAUAUGUCAUGUAGCGGUGAAAUGCUUAGAUAUGACAUAGAACACCAAUUGCGAAGGCAGCUCACUACGGGGUUAUUGACACUGAGGCACGAAAGCGUGGGGAUCAAACAGG